CGCCAUGACGCCGGUCUGUGGCCAGCACAGGGAAACAGGAGAAGGCGAACAAAUGGGGGACCCCUGAGCCAUAGACUGCUGUGGAGUGGAGGAACGUCAGGGUUGGGAGACCACGAGACUCAUCAAGCUCACCCCCCACCUGCCCCAAAGAAGAGAAAGGCCUGCCCAACAGUGACAUAAGCAGUCAGUGGCCUGGCCAGAAUUAGAACAGGCUUUCAACCAUAGUUGCUGUGAAGUAAUGUGGGGUGAAGACAUCUUUGGCUGGCAGAUCUUCUCUUUACCUCGCUCCAGAGGCCUUUGGGGAUCAGACCCUCCGGGUGUAGACAGACUGCUCCCUCCCACACUACCAUCCAAGGGCCACAGACUUGCAGUGGCUCAGAGAUGACAGAGGGCACACCGCCCAGAAAGAGGCCAACCAUCCUUGGCAUGACCAGGACCCUCAAAGACAUCAUCAUCAUCAUCUCAUCAUCAUCAUCAUCCUUAUUCUGGGCCUUAUUCUUUACUCCCCCUGCUGACAACACUCCAGCUGUCCACAGGAACCUCACGAGGCCUCACAGCACCUCAUGGGGACACCAUAUUUUCUGUCCCCCUCACACAGAUGAGAGCACUGGGACUUGGAUGAGGGGGACCUCUCCCAUCACUCAGUGACUCAGGGCACAGCCAGGACUUAGAUCCAGGGACCAGGGCUCCUCUUGCUCUCCCUCACCCCAACCUGCACCCCUGCAGAACAGAAGCCCUGGGACGGCUCAGGUGUUCCGCAUGUUUGAAGAGCUUGUUUCCAGUAAGAAGAGGGCAAUCCUCUCACCAACCCAAUAAGAGGGACGAGCGUGUGUGGUCAUGGACAAGUCCCAACCCUUCCCUUGCCUGUCCUGCAUCUGGAAAUAGUCUCUAUUGGUGGAUGGAACUUAUCAAGGCUCUGAAGGCCUCCAAACCUGCCCCCUGCGGCAGCUAGCUGACCACGCACGGCACCGAAGGAUGCCUUGCCCCUAGCAGGAGGUGCUCCCGGGCUUUCCCCUUGCAGCCAACUGCGUGCUGGAUGGACAUCUGCCCUCAGACGUCCCUUUCAUUUCCCUAGGGACGACAUAUCCCCACCUAUGCUCAGCAUUUUCCAGGUGUCAUCCCGGACUCCUCCCGUGUCCCCAUCCCAUCCCAGUCCUGUGCAUUCCAUGUACCCAAGGUCUCCUGCAUCUGUCCCCUCCUUGGCCCACCCCCCUCUCCCCCGCCCCCCAUCUCCAUUUGCCUUGGGUCAGGAGCAGUAGCCUCCUAACCCCUCCUCCUGUCUGUAGAGGCCCUGCGCCCCAAAGCUGAACCCCUCUGCCCCAGGCUCCCUCCCGCACGGAGGCGAGGUCCUCGGCAAUGCCCUGCUCCAUCUGACCAACAUCCACCCGUGUGCUCUCAUCUGUUUCUUUCUCCUCCUACGUGCCCUGCAACACUCACCAGUCCCGAGCCACAAAGCACGAUUCCAUCUUCUCCCAUAUGCCUGUUAACACUUUCACCUGUCCCCACCUAAAAUCCCACCUGUCCCCAGAAGUCCAGCUCAGGGGGCUCAGCCCCGCCCUCCAUCCUGCAGGGUGGAGGCACCGAGUCCUUCUUCUGUCCCUUUAAACUAUCCCCAAGGGCAGCCCGGUGGCUCAGCGGUUUAGCGCCACCUUCAGCCCAGGGUGUGAUCCUGGGGACCAGGGAUGGAGUCCUAUGUCGGGCUCCCUGCGUGGAGCCUGCUUCUCCCUCUGCCUGUGUCUCUGCCUCAGUGUG